CUUUCUGCAACUCAGGGAAAAGGUACCUCAGAUAUCUCAACCUUCUGGGUACACCCAUGCAAAUGGCAAUCACAACGUUCACCUGCUUGGUGUAGGAACCCACCCUCUAAGAACCACCCUGAUGACCCUCUAACACGGACCACCAGCGCUGGGUGGGACGUCAGGUGUCAGCUCUUGGCAGUGCCACCAGCUUCAGUCCCUCUGUGGGCCUGCCCGGGGCUGCCCGUGGCACUGAAGCAGCUGCUUCUCGACUGCACGGUAAAAUGUUUGUGGUUUUUCCUGGUUAUUUUUAACACAGAUCAGUUCACUGAUCUUAUUUUCCAUGUGGCCUCGGGGGGUGGCCUGGGGAGAGAUGGUGGUGCUAAAACAAACGGUGUGAGAUGGGAACAAGUGGCUGAAGGUCAAAACUGCUCCCGGCAUGGGCCAGGAGGGCUGCGCCCGGAGCAGUGCUCUCACCCGACACAGGGAUGUCAGUGCCUUUGGGUCCCUGGAGCAUCUGCGUGCAGACCGGGGGCUCCAGCAAUGAGCAGAUGAAGGCUGGUGCAGAGGGACGGGCUGAGACUUUCAGUCUAACCCCCUCGGAGGCUCUGAAAUUACAAACAGCCCAUCAGUUGUGGCACUUGCGUAGAGUGUGGAAAUUCAGACUCUUGUAUGGUCAUGGCUCUUCUUCAGCACUUUCCUUCUUUACAUAUAUGUUAUGAAGGCAGA
rnacentral:lncRNA from 1 species